UUUCCAAUAUCAUUGAAAUUCAUAACCAAAGUGAGAAUGAAAUUCACUCCUCUGCGUUCCUUGUUAUUAGUUGCUUGCUGGACCUGGAGAGGAAGGGAUCUCUCAUUAGGAGAAAUGGAUCUCUUUCAGGCAGGUGGCAGUAAAGCGAUUAAUAACAACUGACAGAGAAUUAAGACAUGAAGGAAGACGUUUGGUAAGUUCAGUAAAAGCUCUUUCCAGUCCAUGAUAGGUUACUUACUAAACUAUGAGGUCACCUUUUGCAGCAAACAAUGUGUUCUUUUUAAGCUAGAGAAUAAAUUUUGCCAUUGUGAGAUCAUAAAAAUGAUAUCACUACUGCUGUUCAGGUAACUUGGCCAUAUACAAUGCCAUCUUAAAAAGCAGGAGAUGCUUUUUAAGCCAUGAAAAAAGCUUCACGUCCCUUCUUUUCAUUGAAAGAUCAACAUCAUUCAAAAGUGAAUGAUGUUUACUCGACAUUUGAGGUCCUCCACUGGUCCCUCCUACCCCAACAAAAUGCAUCAUUUCCAUAGCUAAUUCUCUGCAGAAUGCUUCCAUAGCUUAUCUUUCCCCAUUCUUUUUCUCUUUAAUCCAUUCUUUUCGAGAUUAAAAGGCUUGAUUGAUGUUCAUAUUCUGUGCAUCUUUACCACAACAAUUACGGUUCCUUCACAAAGCAUCCUCCAAUCUCUUCAAUCCUCUCCUAGCUAGUUGCAGGUUCAAUUGUGAGGUUUCAUUUUUGUAUUAAUAACAUCAUGACAGAACAUGUCAGACAGAAAUAGAAAUUAAACAGAGAGUUUCUACAAGGUUCUGAUGGCGAUUUGGAGGACAGUGACAGGUAUUGUGUAAUGCACAACAAGAGAAAGAAGAUAAAACCAGGCCUGUUUGAUUAGAACAAAGGCUUUGUCCUCCACACAAAGUUUAUGUAGUAAAGAGGACAUCUUGGGACGGUUGAAAAGUCACUGUGCUCUAAAAGUGAUUAUAAAUGUUGCAGAAACUUUUUUGUAUUUUCUGUUAGCAGGAGAGAACUUGUACCUGGAUCCCAGUACAUGGUAAUUUCAAGUGUACAGCAAUGUCAUUUUCCAGACAUGGUUGAAAAAUUGUGGUAAGAAAACAACUAUUCAAAUAGAGCAUUGAGUACUAUUUAUCCUAUCUGGUUAUUCAGUGUUUGCUUGGAUACCAAAAACCUUAUCUACAUUUCGAUUGAUUCCCAUUCAUUGGCUGUUCUAAUAUCCAUCUAUCCUAUUCUAUGCCUAUGGAGACACCAUUUCAGCUUGUAUUAUUACAUUCAUGUGGGUUUAUCUGCAAAUGGGAAUGCCAAGAAGAGGUCCCUUUCCCCACCCUUUUCCUCACUUAAGCUGUUUCUUUGGAGAGAUCUCUAGAAUUCUCUAUUCUGCUAAGAUAUUGGGGUUUUCGAGCUUCAAUUUUUUUUUUUUUUUUUUUUUUUAAAUUUAUUUUCUAUCAGGAAACAACAAAGGACAGGGAAAAUGCUGGGAGAUGUGUCAGCUUUUCAUUCACUCAAUUUACUCAUCCUUAGAUUCCUCUAAAUCUUUCCACAUGUUGAGUUGUUUUGUAUGCCAAAAAGAGAGCCAAGAUUUUGUUUUGUCCCACAUGAAAUAAAAAAACAAAUCCCCUAUUAUUAAUUGUCUCCAUCUACUUCAUUCCAUGAUGGGUGUUUUGAACCUGCAAAUUCUUAUAUCAUUCAAUCUUUAGAGAAACCAAAAGGGAUAAUAUCUAUUUGCUCUCUCAAUGUCUUCACAAGUUUCAAUCAAUCUCUCCUCUUCUUCUUGUUCUUCCAGACGUCAAUCCCUUUAACCCUUUGUUUCUGACCCUUUUGUCUGAUUUUUCUUGCCGUCUGGUCAAUUUUUGUUCAUUUGGAAAGCCAUUUAUUUGGAGUGUUACUAUGGUUAGGGCUACCUUCAAUAAUUCUUUUUGUAAUCAUGAGUAUGAGCUCUGAAAAUUGAUAUUAAUUAUGGGGUAGAGUUUGGA